UCUAGAUCAACCCAACAGUCCAGAGCAGCAGCAACCAGAGCAACAGUCUGAGCAGCCAGGCACCUGUGAGAGGGUGGCCCCCUUACCUCCCUGGGCAAAAUACUAUCGUGGAAGAUGCUGGUACAUCUGCAAAAGUUGGCCUCUGCGCAUUGAAUUUGAGCCUGAAGGUAUCGCCUGUGGGCUGAUGACCGUGAACAACACUAAGAGGGUCUGCAAGAAUGGAACCUGUGUUAAAGCCGAACCUUCCAGCGAAGAAUCGGAGCAGCCAAAACGACUCAUUCCGACCCAAGAGUCCACAUCUAAAGGAGGAACUGGGGUUGGAAAUCUGCUGGGUACGUCGAA
rnacentral:lncRNA from 1 species